rnacentral:misc_RNA from 1 species
UCUAGUAUCAACACAGAAUAUAACGUUUCAUGUAUCGUAUCGUCGCAUGAUAACUAACGGUGCACCAUGUAUUCAAGGUAUAACAGAUUUCCCAGUCGUGAUCAAUCUUGUCAUUCCGGUAAAGGAUAUCAUUUGUGACAAUUAUUCCAGCACAAGAAGGUUACGGAAAGGGGCAGUUUACGGAAAGCAGCAAGAAGCGGCGAUCGCUGAUGGAUCUCCAUGGAGACCAUUGCCACUUCCGUUAUUCACAAACGACGCCAUUUUGGUUGUUGCUGCUGCACUUUGUUUCCACGUCUGUGUUUACAUUUUGCUCUUUAUCCCGCACGUAUCGCACGUUCUUCACGAUGUAUGCCACUGUUGCUUUGGUUUAUCAUCAAGUUCAGAUAUAUCAAACGUUGGAGGGAUACAGACAAGUACCGGAUUCCAGAGCCACGAUGUGACAGACAAUGACGAGCGACUGAUGUUUCCAGUACAGUUGACAGCCGGUAUCAUGUCCGGCGAUCUCGGGACACUGUACAAGAUUUUUCAGUUCAGUGAUUAAUUAAUAAACUCGUUAUUGAACCUUA